rnacentral:rRNA from 1 species
UACGUAGGAUGCAAGCGUUGUCCGGAAUUAUUGGCGUAAAGAGCGCGCAGGCGGUUUGAGAAGUCAGAUGUGAAAGAGGCCGGCUUAACCGGCAAGGGUCAUUUGAAACUGACAGACUAGAGUACAGCAGAGGAUAGCGGAAUUCCCGGUGUAGUGGUGAAAUGCGUAGAUAUCGGGAGGAACACCAGUGGCGAAGGCGGCUAUCUGGGCUGAAACUGACGCUGAGGCGCG